GUGGAUUAGAUACCCGGGUAGUCCACGCCCUAAACGAUGAAUACUCGAUGUUAGCGAUAUACAGUUAGCGUCAAAGCGAAAGCGUUAAGUAUUCCACCUGGGGAGUACGCCCGCAAGGGUGAAACUCAAAGGAAUUGACGGGGGCCCGCACAAGCGGAGGAGCAUGUGGUUUAAUUCGAUGAUACGCGAGGAACCUUACCCGGGCUUGAAAGUUACUGAAUGAUUCAGAGAUGGAUCAGUCCGCAAGGACAGGAAACUAGGUGCUGCACGGCUGUCGCCAGCU
rnacentral:rRNA from 1 species